CGGGGUGGAGUAAUGCUUGGGAAUCUAGCUUAUGGAGGGGGAUAACUACGGGAAACUGUAGCUAAUACCGCGUAAUAUCGAAAGAUGAAAGUGUGGGACCUUCGGGCCACAUGCCAUAGGAUGAGCCCAAGUGGGAUUAGGUAGUUGGUGAGGUAAAGGCUCACCAAGCCGACGAUCUCUAGCUGGUCUGAGAGGAUGACCAGCCACACUGGGACUGAGACACGGCCCAG
rnacentral:rRNA from 1 species